rnacentral:rRNA from 1 species
GACCGAGGGUGCAAACGUUGUUCGGAAUUACUGGGCGUAAAGCGUGUGUAGGCGGCCAUAUAAGUCGGAUGUGAAAGCCCUGGGCUCAACCCAGGAAGUGCACUCGAUACUGUAUGGCUUGAGUACUGGAGAGGUUGGUGGAAUUCUCGGUGUAGAGGUGAAAUUCGUAGAUAUCGAGAGGAACACCGGUGGCGAAGGCGGCCAACUGGACAGAUACUGACGCUGAGACACGAAAGCGUGGGGAGCAAACAGG